rnacentral:rRNA from 1 species
AUUGAACGCUGGCGGCAGGCCUAACACAUGCAAGUCGAGCGGAUGAAGGGAGCUUGCUCCUGGAUUCAGCGGCGGACGGGUGAGUAAUGCCUAGGAAUCUGCCUGGUAGUGGGGGAUAACGUCCGGAAACGGGCGCUAAUACCGCAUACGUCCUGAGGGAGAAAGUGGGGGAUCUUCGGACCUCACGCUAUCAGAUGAGCCUAGGUCGGAUUAGCUAGUUGGUGGGGUAAAGGCCUACCAAGGCGACGAUCCGUAACUGGUCUGAGAGGAUGAUCAGUCACACUGGAACUGAGACACGGUCCAGACUCCUACGGGAGGCAGCAGUGGGGAAUUUUGGACAAUGGGCGCAAGCCUGAUCCAGCCAUGCCGCGUGUGUGAAGAAGGUCUUCGGAUUGUAAAGCACUUUUAGUUGGGAGGAAGGGCAGUAAGUUAAUACCUUGCUGUUUUGACGUUACCAACAGAAUAAGCACCGGCUAACUUCGUG